AUGAUACUCUUGAAAACGGCAAUGAAGAACUCAAUGAAGAAUGAAGGAGGGAUGCAGGCUACGUUUGCAAAUAACAUGGUUAUAAAGUCCAAACGCGUAUCACCAAAACAAUGUUGUAUCCGUCGUCAAAACUUUCAAACCACGCCGUCUAGAUUAUCUAUCGUGUCUACUGUUCAAGAAGACUUGUCCAUCUCAUCAAUGUCGUCUAACUUAUCCAUCAAGUCUCCUGCUCAAGAAGACUUGUUUAUCUCACCAAUGCCGUCUAAAUUUUCUAUCAAAUCUCCAUAA